CACCCUUUCCUCACGCCGCCGCAAUUCUCUUCAAACCCUAACCCCCAAAUCACCUCCAGUCAAUCUAUGUUUUCUCUCCCCUUGGUCCGGUCGAUAGCAGCGAAGUCGCCGCCGUCGCUUUAACCCUCUGAGUUUGGCGUCGCCUCCUCCACCCUCUGUUUUUCGCGCCGCCUCCACCACCUUCAACCCUUCACGCCGCCUCCUCUGCCUACACCCUAUUAAGUUUUGCACCGCCUUUUUCAAACCCUAGUUACCCUCUUCUUCGAUUUGAUGUUUUUUCAAUUUUGUUUUAAUGUUUUUGAUUCUGGAUCUUGUUUCUUGGUAAUUGAAGAUGGAUUGAUCUCAUUUUUGUUUAUUCAUAUUUGUUGCUUUGUUGAUUGGGAGGUGGCAGAUGCUGUUUUUUUGUGGAAGGAGAUGAAGAAUUUGGGGCAGAAUCUUUGUGAAGACUGAAUUUUUUUUAGUCUCUGUUGAUCUUGUUGCACCAAGAAAAUUUUGAGGUUUUUGAUCUUGUUGCAGUAAAAAAUUGUGCUGUUUUUGAUUUGUUGCAAUAGAAAGAACCACCAAAAAUUUUGAAUAAAUUUUUUAAUUAAUCUCUUAAUGGACCACCUUUCUCCCUAAUCUUGUUCUUCUUAAUCUCUGUGCCGAAAAGGCAC
rnacentral:lncRNA from 1 species